rnacentral:lncRNA from 1 species
CAGGAUGAAGACAUGAAGAGAAAGUUUCAAGAUCUUCUGUCUGAGGAAAAUGAAUCCACAGGUCUAUCCCAGGUUCUAGCCCAGCCUUCUACUAGUCGAAAGCGGCCUCGUGAAGGGGAAGCCGAGGGUGCCGAGACCACAAAGCGCCCGGCUGUGUGUGCUGCUGUGUUGUGAACUCCGUGGUUUGAACAUGAAAGAAAUGUACCUUCUUUCACUCUGUCAUCUUUCUUUUCUUUGAGUCUGUUUUUUUAUAGUUUGUAUAUUAAUUAUGGAAAUAAUUGCUUUUUCACAGUCACUGAUGUACAAUUAAAAACCUGAUGGAACCUGGGCUUUGUGCUUCUGCUUGAUAAUCGGUUCUUUAGUUGAAUGGCUUUAUUAUUUAUUUAUUUGAGAUGGAGUCUCACUCUGUUGCCCAGCCUGAAGUGUAGUGGUGCAAGCUUGGCUCACUGCAACCUCUGCUUCCCAGAUUCAAGCGAUUCUCGUGCCUCAGCCUCCUGAGUAGCUGGGAUUACAGGUAUGCGCCACCAUGCCAAGCUAAUUUUUAUAUUUUUUUG